rnacentral:rRNA from 1 species
UACGUAGGGGGCAAGCGUUGUCCGGAUUUAUUGGGCGUAAAGAGCGUGUAGGCGGCCUGAAAGGUCAGCUGUGAAAACUCGAGGCUUAACCUCGAGACGUCGGUUGAAACCAUCUGGCUAGAGUCCGGAAGAGGAGUGUGGAAUUCCCGGUGUAGCGGUGAAAUGCGCAGAUAUCGGGAAGAACACCCGUGGCGAAGGCGGCUCUCUGGGACGGUACUGACGCUGAGACGCGAAAGCGUGGGGAGCGAACAGG